GCUGAGGCUUCCUGUGGGUUAGUUCCAGCUGAAGGGCUCUCAGGCCUCUUUCCUGCCGUGACCUCUGCUGUGAAGAUGCUGGAUGAACUGGGAGCAGGGUGUUAAUGCAGAACCUGCAAUUCAAGUAGACAGAAGCACUAGAAAGCCUUAGACUACAGAGAUAAGAUGGAUGUUUCCCUUCUUGUCCAGGGCCAGCGUUGGACUGCAUACACAGGAGCCCGUAGCAAAAGCUCGUGGUGAUGAGUUUCACCCUUAUAUCAUUUAGGAUGCUGUCUUUGGGAAUGUUUGUGGUUGGACCCCAUAAUCACAUUCACUGGGUGAUGCCCAACAUGUUUGAGAAGUGACUGUCUUACUGAAGCUGCCACUCUGCUCAAGGUUGGACUCAGUCCUCCUAAGUGAUUCCACAGCCUGACUGCUCCUUCUGCUGGAAACCUCUGGCAACCUUGAACUUGAUCAUUUAGGAUCAUGACAACUUGUAAGAACUUCAAUGAGAGGAGAUGCACCUUGUGUUUCAGACAGGCUGUGCUGUCCUCCCUCCCUUUGGUGUUUACUUGUUUACAUUUUUGCCCAUUUACUGUGCUCACCAUGAGGAGCACAGUGGUAGCUGGUGUCAUCCACGUUCCACCCUCAAGAAACAGAAUUGAAAGCAACUUUAGAAAAGCUUUUUAAGGAAAAUAUCAAAAUCAAGCUGGGAGCAGGAAAAAUGAAGGGUGUCCAGUUUUCCCUGGGGAGACCGAUGGAAAACCCAGCACUGACGGUUGCACCUGCACCUGGUCCAGGCAGAGAAAGGCAUCGCCUACACACCCUGUGAGUUCGGUGCUGCCCCUUCAGGGGCUCCGAUGGGAGUGAAAAGGAUUCCUUUCCCAAGUUGUUCUCUUGCUGGAGCCAGGAAGAAGGGAAAGCUGAGUGAUCUCCUGUGGGACAGGGGGGUGGUGCUUUUAUAAUCACAGUAAUAAGAAAUGCUAAGGAACGUAAAGACAUGUAAAGCCACCAGAUUCCUGAAGCCUCCUGAGUCACUCUUGAAGAUCUUUGAGAUUAAACUCCUAUUUUUUCCAUGAGGGACUUUUCAAACUCAGGUGUCUCCAAUCUGUCC
ensembl:lncRNA